rnacentral:rRNA from 1 species
UCUAUACUGUGAACUGCGAAUGGCUCAUUAAAUCAGUUAUCGUUUAUUUGAUAGUACCUUACUACUUGGAUAACCGUGGUAAUUCUAGAGCUAAUACAUGCUAAAAACCCCGACUUCGGAAGGGGUGUAUUUAUUAGAUAAAAAACCAAUGCCCUUCGGGGCUCCUUGGUGAUUCAUGAUAACUUAACGAAUCGCAUGGCCUUGCGCCGGCGAUGGUUCAUUCAAAUUUCUGCCCUAUCAACUUUCGAUGGUAGGAUAGUGGCCUACCAUGGUAUCAACGGGUAACGGGGAAUUAGGGUUCUAUUCCGGAGAGGGAGCCUGAGAAACGGCUACCACAUCCAAGGAAGGCAGCAGGCGCGCAAAUUACCCAAUCCCGACACGGGGAGGUAGUGACAAUAAAUACUGAUACAGGGCUCUUUUGGGUCUUGUAAUUGGAAUGAGUACAAUUUAAAUACCUUAACGAGGAACAAUUGGAGGGCAAGUCUGGUGCCAGCAGCCGCGGUAAUUCCAGCUCCAAUAGCGUAUAUUAAAGUUGUUGCASUUAAAAAGCUCGUAGUUGAACCUUGGGCCUGGCUGGCCGGUCCGCCUCACCGCGUGUACUGGUCCGGCCGGGCCUUUCCUUCUGGGGAUCCUCAUGCCCUUCACUGGGUGUGCUGGGGAACCAGGACUUUUACUUUGAAAAAAUUAGAGUGUUCAAAGCAGGCCUUUGCUCGAAUACAUUAGCAUGGAAUAAUAGAAUAGGACGUGCGGUCCUAUUUUGUUGGUUUCUAGGACCGCCGUAAUGAUUAAUAGGGAUAGUCGGGGGCAUCAGUAUUCAAUUGUCAGAGGUGAAAUUCUUGGAUUUAUUGAAGACUAACUACUGCGAAAGCAUUUGCCAAGGAUGUUUUCAUUAAUCAGUGAACGAAAGUUAGGGGAUCGAAGACGAUCAGAUACCGUCGUAGUCUUAACCGUAAACUAUGCCGACUAGGGAUCGGGCGAUGUUAUUCUUUUGACUCGCUCGGCACCUUACGAGAAAUCAAAGUCUUUGGGUC